rnacentral:rRNA from 2 species
AGCAGCCGCGGUAAUUCCAGCUCCAAUAGCGUAUAUUAAAGUUGUUGCAGUUAAAAAGCUCGUAGUUGAAUUUCGGGGUUAGCAGGUCGGUCGUGCCAUCGGUAUGAACUGGUCUCGCUGAUCCCUCCCUCUUGACGAACUGUGAUGCCAUUAAUUUGGUGUCGCAGGGAAUCAGGACUGUUACUUUGAAAAAAUUAGAGUGUUUAAAGCAGGCUCACGCUUGAAUACAUUAGCAUGGAAUAAUGAAAUAGGACGUUUGAUCCUAUUUUGUUGGUUUCUAGGAUUGACGUAAUGAUUAAUAGGGAUAGUUGGGGGCAUUAGUAUUCAAUUGUCAGAGGUGAAAUUCUUGGAUUUAUUGAAGACUAACUACUGCGAAAGCAUUUGCCAAGGAUGUUUUCAUUAAUCAAGAACGAAAGUUAGGGGAUCGAAGACGAUCAGAUACCGUCGUAGUCUUAACCAUAAACUAUGCCGACUAGGGAUCGGAUGAUGUUAAUUUUUUAAUGACUCA